AGGAGUGAGCCAGGUUUCAGGAGGGGGCACGCAGGAGACCAGCCCUGGAUUCAGACUUGAGCCUGGUCCACACCAGAGGCCGAUAGAAGGCUUGGAUUACAGCAGGGGCAGGUUCUUUCACGAAAUCAAAUUUCUCCACUGAUUUCUGAAUUCAUAGCAAGCUAACUAGAAGAGAUUUUUAAUUCAGAAUGCUGCACUCCAAAAAACUGAGAAAGACAUUGAGGGAGGGAAUAUGGAAAUUUGAUGGUAUCUCGGCUAAGUUUGAUAUUGAGAUUUUUGUAAUAAAUGUUGUUGAAUAAAAAAGGCAUCAAGAUGCCUAAAUCAGAGAGAUAAAAUGAAGAAUAAUUACAGUAUACAAUUUUUGAAUUAUUGUCCAAUCAACUAAAAUUAGAAGUUUUUAACAUGCUAAAAUGGAAAGUUAUUCAACAGAAUGGAAUCCUUUAAAAUAUGAUGGAACUGCCACUUAAGCAUCAGAAGUCUGCUCAGGUGUGACCCUGGGAGCCCAAACUUUUCACGGAACAGCAAGGAACAUCCCUGUGCUCCUCCUUCCCAGUCUCUUUUUUUUUCAGAGGGAGUCUCGCUCUGUUGCCCAGGCUGGAGUGCAGUGGCGAGAUCUCAGCUCACUGCAAGCUCCGUCUCCCGGGUUCACGCCAUUCUCCUGCCUCAGCCUGCCGAGUAGCUGGGACAACAGGCGCCAGCCACCAUGCCCAGGUCAUACCACCCUUGACAAACUGCAGUCCCUACUGGCCAUUACACUGCAGAGCCGUGACAAUGAUGGAUCUCCUGUUUGGAAGAGAAUGACCCAGGACAAAAGGGGUGACCAAACCAUGGUCUAAGUGUGAUAUCUGAAGCUGCUUAAUCUGCAAAAGGAAACCCAGUGUGAGGAAUGGGAGAUGGAGAUGUGGAGGCCUAGUGUCUAAGGGCUGGCAUUCAGGGGAAGAAUUACAUUUGUCUGUAAUCUCAAAGGCUAGGAAGGAUGGAGCUGGGUGGAUUUGGGAUCACCAUGAAAAGGACCUAUGAGUAAGUCAGGCCUGCGUAGAGGUGAUCUGGAAGCCCCCAGCUGCACCCUCAAUUGGAAAGGGGCUGUGGAGGGGUCUUGAACAUGACUUAGCAAAUGGAGCUAGAUUCCUUCAAUGCUCCAUCCAGCCAUAAAUCAAUGAAAUAGCUCCCUCCUUCUUUUUCUCUGCCUUCCAAACUGAACUACUGUAUCUCUUGCAAAACCAAUUGGAUAAUUCUGUGUUAAGCUUCCUGUCUCCCACCCUGAGCAACCACAGAUGAAUGAUGGUUGUUGCAGAGAUGGGCAAGUCUGGCUUCUGAGAGCUGCCAUUGAACUUCUCUGUGCUGAGCUGGCAUUAGCUCCUCUCCUCUCCCCUCCCCACCCUGCUUAGAGAAUCCUCUCCACAUUUGGAGGUUUGUGUCACCCUUCUACGUGACCAGGGCUUCUGUCCCAUGAGAAGAGAAGGGACAGGAGGACUCUGUCUGAAAGUUCUGAGUUGUAGAUUUGCCCAUGGGCCAGACAUCAGGCUCUGUCCAUGAGGUGACCCAAGUCACCAGAGGAAAAGUGUCUGUCCCCAAUCUCCACAUUAAAUUUGCCUUGGGCCUCAA
rnacentral:lncRNA from 10 species